CUUAAAAUCCUUUACUAACUCUUAGGUAGAAAUAAUUUUACAAAAUAGCCAUGAAGGUUCUUGUAUUAGGUUCAUGGCUUUGCCUCAUUAUAUUCUUGCAAACUUUGCCAUACUCCACUUGCAAAUUCACCCCAAAAUCCACAAAUCAUGAACUUAUCUUCCCUAAUGAAAACAAAGAAAAGAACCAGUGACGAAGCCACAUGAUCACCCUUCGUCGAAAAAUUGUACUAUGCAUACAGGCAAAAUAUUACGUUUUAGAGUUGCAAAUAAUGAAUGUAUGGAUGUGCAUAAAGUUGUUCAUCAGAGAAGAGGAGUAUAUGGUGGAGCAGACCUUCUUCGCAAAGGACCUAAAAAGAAUGAAGCCAAUUACAUAUUUGAAAGGCCAAUUUUAGUGUCUUCUUUCUUCUUGUUUCUUUUUGUUGCCUUCACUCUCUAAGUUUUGCUAUAGUUAUGAUAGUUGGAAAAGAUUGGUUUCUCUCUUUUGCCCCUUUUAGAUAUAUUCUCAUUUUUUUU